UGCGAGUCAUUGUAGCAAUACAAGGCAGACGGCUCAGUAACGCGUAGUCAAUCUACCCUAUGGACGGGAAUAACCUCGGGAAACUGAGAAUAAUGCCCGACAGAACAUUAUACCUGGAACGGUUUAUGUUUCAAAUGAUUUAUCGCCGUAGGAUGGGACUGCGGCCUAUCAGUUUGUUGGUGAGGUAAUGGCCCACCAAGACUAUUACAGGUACGGGCUCUGAGAGGAGUAGCCCGGAGAUGGGUACUGAGACACGGACCCAGGCCCUAUGGGGCGCAGCAGGCGAGAAAACUUUGCAAUGUGCGAAAGCACGACAAGGUUAAUCCGAGUGGUUUCUGCUAAAGAAACCUUUUGCUAGUCCUAGAAACACUAGUGAAUAAGGGGUGGGCAAGUUCUGGUGUCAGCCGCCGCGGUAAAACCAGCACCUCAAGUGAUCAGGAUGAUUAUUGGGCCUAAAGCAUCCGUAGCUCGUUUUGUAAGUUUUCGGUUAAAUCCAUACGCUUAACGUAUGGGCUGCCGGGAAUACUGCAUAACUAGGAAGUGGGAGAGGUGGACGGUACUCGGUAGGAAGGGGUAAAAUCCUUUGAUCUAUUGAUGACCACCUGUGGCGAAGGCGGUCUACCAGAACACGUUCGACGGUGAGGGAUGAAAGCUGGGGGAGCAAACCGGAUUAGAUACCCGGGUAGUCCCAGCUGUAAACUAUGCAAACUCAGUGAUGCAUUGGCUUGUGGCCAAUGCAGUGCUGCAGGGAAGCCGUUAAGUUUGCCGCCUGGGAAGUACGUACGCAAGUAUGAAACUUAAAGGAAUUGGCGGGGGAGCACCACAAGGGGUGAAGCCUGCGGU
rnacentral:rRNA from 1 species